UGGCGGACGGGUGAGGAAUACAUCGGAAUCUACUCUGUCGUGGGGGAUAACGUAGGGAAACUUACGCUAAUACCGCAUACGACCUACGGGUGAAAGCAGGGGAUCUUCGGACCUUGCGCGAUUGAAUGAGCCGAUGUCGGAUUAGCUAGUUGGCGGGGUAAAGGCCCACCAAGGCGACGAUCCGUAGCUGGUCUGAGAGGAUGAUCAGCCACACUGGAACUGAGACACGGUCCAGACUCCUACGGGAGGCAGCAGCA
rnacentral:rRNA from 1 species